rnacentral:rRNA from 1 species
GACGAACGCUGGCGGCGUGCUUAACACAUGCAAGUCGAACGGAAAGGCCCUGCUUUUGUUGGUUGCUCGAUUGGCGAACGGGUGUGUAACACGUGAGUAACCUGCCCUUGACUUUGGGAUAACUUCAGGAAACUGGGGCUCAUACCGGAUAUGAUCUCCUGCUGCAUGGUGGGGGUUGGAAAGUUUCGGCGGUUGGGGAUGGUCUCGCGGCUUAUCAGCUUGUUGGUGGGGUAGUGGCUUACCAAGGCUUUGACGGGUAGCCGGCCUGAGAGGGUGAACGGGCACAUUGGGACUGAGAUACGGCCCAGACGCGUACGGGAGGCAGCAGGGGGGAAUAUUGCACAAUGGGCGGAAGCCAGAUGCGGCAACGCCGCGUGCGGGAUGACGGCCUUCGGGUUGUAAACCGAUUUCGCAUGUGACGAAGCGUGAGUGACGGUAAUGGGUAAAGAAGCACCGGCUAACUACGUG